rnacentral:rRNA from 1 species
UACGGAGGGUGCAAGUGUUAUUCGGAAUCACUGGGCGUAAAGAGCACGUAGGCGGAUGGGUAAGUCAGAUGUGAAAUCCCGGGGCUCAACUUCGGAACUGCAUUUGAUACUGCCCGUCUUGAGUGUGGUAGAGGGGGAUGGAAUUCCCGGUGUAGAGGUGAAAUUCGUAGAUAUCGGGAGGAACACCAGAGGCGAAGGCGAUCCCCUGGGCCAUUACUGACGCUGAGGUGCGAAAGCGUGGGGAG